GUUUGUACGAAAUCCUUUGUUAUUAAUAAUAAAAUGUAAAUAAAGUGAUUAAGUUGAUUUGGUAAAAUAGAAGAGUAAAGAAAGAAACUGCGUUCAAUUACUCGAAAAAUUUCUUUUUUCUUUAGUUUUUUAGUAGAUGGAAGGGUAAAGUAUAAGUGAAAGAAGCCAUAAAAACGCUUUCUGCAACCCUUACCGAAAUAGUAAAAGUAGAGCAGAUAAUAGAAUUUUACGCGAUGGAACGCGGGCUAUUGAUGAGCUGUAGACAAAUCAAUAUACAUUAAUAAACUUUGAAAUUAGAUGAUGGAUGCUGUUUGUUGCACAGAACACGACAGCAGCAAAAAGGGGCAAUGAAGGAGGAUGAAGAGAGAAGAUGAAGUACAUUUACCCUCUCGUCCUAAUCGGGCAACUUCUAACUUACUUUCGUGACGGAGUGACCCUUUCGGACGAGAAGAAAUUAAUUAAAGAUUUAUUAAAAAAGUACUCGGAAGCCGGUAAAGUGGGUCGACCCGUCCAAAACACAAGUCAUACAAUAUCGGUGACAUAUGGAUUAGCGUUAAUUCAGUUAUUGGAUUUGGACGAGAAGAAUCAGAUCUUAACGACAAAUUGCUGGUCUAGAUACACAUGGUACGACAUAUUUCUUAAAUGGGAUCCAAAGGAGUAUAACGGCGUUGAAACAGUACGAAUUCCUUCAUCUGAUAUAUGGACACCUGAUAUAGUCUUAUACAACUACGCUGAUACCCGUCUGCGAGAACACCGUGACGCCUUUGUUGUCGUUUCUAGCACAGGUGGAAUCCUUUGGAUACCGCCCGCUAUUUAUAAAUCGUCCUGUGUAAUAGACAUAACCUACUUCCCAUUCGAUAGACAAACUUGUUGGAUGAAAUUCGGAAGUUGGACAUAUGACGGUUGGAAAUUAAAUAUAUCGUUCUAUAGUGAUUUGGAUGAAAUCGAUUUGAACGAUUAUAUACCGUCCAAUGAAUGGGAUGUUUUGAGCCACCGUGCCAAAAGAAAUGUUCGUUAUUAUCCGUGUUGUAAAGAACCGUAUCCGGAUUUAACGUUCAUUAUGGAACUUCAAAGAAAAGUGGCGUUUUAUAAUUACAUUCUAAUUUUACCCUGCGUACUGUUAUCAACACUUACUCUCGUCCUAUUUUGGUUACCGCCAGAAUCCCCUGCUAAAAUGGUGCUGGGUAUGAACAUAUUCGUUGCAUUCUUCGUCCUGCUUUUACUGUUAGCAGAAUCUACUCCUCCAGCUGCUUCUUCCAUUCCACUUAUAGGUGCAUACUACUGCCUCAACAUGAUAAUGAUAACACUAUCAACUUUCCUCUCUGUUAUCGUUAUAAAUCUAUACUUCCGAGGUGAUAAACGAAACCGCGUACCGCAAUGGUUAAAAAGGUUAAUGAUCGACAUAUUAGCGCGAAUCAUGUGUAUGCGUGGUGAAUUAGUAUCGGAAGAUGCACCGAAGAACCAGUCUAAGACUCCAGAAACGGUUCAUACUGUUAAAAUUGAUAAAAAAACUAAACGAAAAGUUAAGUGUCCUGAAAUGAAAUAUAACAAAUUUCAAAUGUAUGAACUGAAAGAAGGAUGCCCAAGUGGACUGUUGUCGAAUCAUAAUUCAACAUCAGCUCCAUCUAGAGGACAUUAUCAAGAGCAAGAUAGAUCUUGUUUUCAAGGACAAUCUGGUGUGGAGGCUGAUGUUAAGGAAAUUCGAAAGUAUUUAAAACAGAUGCUAUAUCGAAUACAGCAAAAAGAGGAAAAAGGCAAAAUUGCAUUGGAAUGGAGGAUUGUCGCCAUGGUACUCGAUCGGUUCUUCUUUUUUAUGUACUUGAUCGCUAUCGUUAUUUCGUUGGUGACCAUUUUCCCGAAGACUGCUUAAAUGUACGAUUCUUUUAUAUUACACAUUCAGGCUGAUUCGAACUGUAUUUUUCUUUAAUAAUUAUUAACACUAUAGGCUUAAUUAUAUUGAAUAUUUGUUAUUCAGGUAAAUUACACACACUUAUACAUAUGUAAAUGUAAAAUAACUUUUUGUUGGAUCUUUGGUUCUUUUCUUGCUUUAUGUUUUAACUUAAUUCAGUUUUUUUAUAUAAACCUGCAGUAUCACUUGCAUGUGAUUUGACCAGUUUUUUUCUCAACAGUUUUAAAAUAGGAGUUUCGGCAAUAAAAUUUUUUAAAGACAUUCCAA
rnacentral:misc_RNA from 1 species